CACACGACUCUCGGCAACGGAUAUCUCGGCUCUCGCAUCGAUGAAGAACGUAGCGAAAUGCGAUACCUGGUGUGAAUUGCAGAAUCCCGCGAACCAUCGAGUCUUUGAACGCAAGUUGCGCCCGAGGCCACUCGGCCGAUGGCACGCCUGCCUGGGCGUCACGC
rnacentral:rRNA from 1 species